rnacentral:rRNA from 1 species
UUGGAGGCUUGUUUGAAUGGUUUGACGGAGUAAUAAUGAAUAUCCAUUAUUUUGUUGAAAUUGAUUUGGAGGGUUCAGAAUCCUUCUUUAUUAAUAAGACGGAAAGACCCCGGGAGCUUUUAUUUUGCCUGGGGCGGGUGUUAGUAUUUCACUAAUAUUUUGUUCCUUUUUUGGAUUGAUGGUUUAAGUUACCCCGGGGAUAACAGUGUAAUAAUUAAUGAGAGAUCUUAUCGAAUUAGUUGUUUGCCACCUCGAUGUUGACUUAGGUUUUCUUCAGGCGCAGUAGUUUGAAGUUUGGGUCUGUUCGACCUUGUUGCCUCCAUGAGUUGAGUUAAGACCGGUGUAAGCCAGGUCGGUUCUUAUCUAUUGGUGUGAUUUAUUAGUACGAAAGGACCAUAAAUCUUUUUAUUAAGUAUGUAGCCUUUGGUCUCAGCUUUGCAAAAGCUGGUGAGAAAGUUUCCAUGCUGUUUAACUGUGGCAAUAGGAAGUUUUAUUAUAUUAACUGCAUAAAUUGUUUCUAUGUUUUUUUGAAUAAUGUUUUGUUGAUUUAAUUAGCAGUUAGUUUUUUGUUUGGACGUAAGUCUUUUAAGAGUAUAAUAUAUAAAGGGGAGAGGUCACAGUGCCAGCAUCUGCGGUUAUUCUGUUUUCUUUGCUUUUUUAUAGACUGUGUUUGGAUAUUUAUAAUUAAGUUUAGGUGAAAUUUACUUGUUUUUGUGUUGGGUAUCCAAUUAUGAAUAAAUAAUUUUAAGUGACAGGGAUUAGAUACCCCAUUAAUUGGUUAAAUUAUUAU